GCCGUAUCGGUUCGAUCGGGAUACUCAUCAAAUAACGUUGAAACUCGGUGUGUCUUCUCUUGCCAAUGGCGGGCCACUAACCAAGCGUAUGCACCAUUUUAUGCCGGUGGAUUACAAAGGCGGAGAGCACCCUUAACUUGUAAUAAAGGAGUUUUCAUCACAUCAUCGGUGCGGCCCC
rnacentral:sRNA from 1 species